rnacentral:rRNA from 1 species
CGGACGUGAGGAACCUGCCUUUCAGAGGGGGACGAACAGUUGGAAACGACUGCUAAUACCGCAUAAUAUAUUGUUGUCGCAUGGCAAUGAUAUCAAAGAUUUAUCGCUGAAAGAUGGCCUCGCGUCUGAUUAGCUAGUUGGUAGGGUAACGGCCUACCAAGGCGACGAUCAGUAGCCGGACUGAGAGGUUGGCCGGCCACAUUGGGACUGAGAUACGGCCCAGACUCCUACGGGAGGCAGCAG